AAAAUUCAUAGUAAUUUCUUUUUUUAUCCAAAAAAUCCCGAAAUAAUUUCUAAAAUUCUCUUUUAUUUUUCUUCAUCUGAUUUUUUUUCCACAUUUUAUUUCAUUGAUUUUCUAUUUUUCAUGAGUUUUCUCUUUUUUCCUUUGUUUUAAUUGGUUAAAAAAUGUUUUUCUGCAUUUUUAAAUUCUGAAAAAUUUAUUACAUGCCUCUUAUUUUAUUUCCAACCUUCCAAAUUCUCUUGGCCAUUUAUUUGGUAUUUUUAAGGACUUUAUGGAUAUUUCCA
rnacentral:lncRNA from 1 species